rnacentral:rRNA from 1 species
AUGAUAUUGUCAAGGGUCUCCCACAGAGAAGGAAAGACCUCAUUUGCACAAACAAAAUGGGGUAAUCUACUUAAUAUUAGCAAAUUCUCAGCUCCAGAGGGUCUCCUAGAAUGGAUCGUUGACCGGAUUGACCCGAAGCUAGGUGAAUUUCGGAAUCCACGAAACAAUAACAGCAUUCUAUUCACUCGACAAAUGGUUGAAAAGGCUCUCGGGCUUCCGUCUGGUACUAGGCCGGUGGUUAUCAUAAGCAAGCAUGAAGAAUCACCUCACCGAGAAUUCUACAAAACGGACUAUGAGCAUGGGAGACGGGCGCCCAUUCACCAUGCUGCAACCAUGCUAGAAAACGGCAAUGAUCUAGAUGAUGAGACCUUCUUCAGGACAUUCUUUCUAGUAGCAUUGGCUACUCAUUUUACACCCGGAACUGGAAAUAUGAUUCCUUUGGAAUAUUUAGGCAGCCUUGAAGUUGCUUCCGAGGUUUGCGAGUAUGCAUGGGGAGAGCAAAUUCUCAAAGAUGUCAUGACUGAGGUCGAUACAUUCCAAAAGAAGAAGAAGAAAGCACUACUAGAUGGUGUCUUCAAAAAAAUCUGGGUCGGCAGCUGCCUAUCCGUGCUCGCGAUUAUAUACAUGGACCAUCUUGACUUUCCUGAAUCAUCUUUGUCGACGCAUCGCAUAAAUUACUCACUUCCCAGAUCAUCCCAUGUAACCGAUGCCGACUUCGAAUUUGUCAUGCUCGCUGAUAAAAGUAGACUGAGCCUCAACCCAUAUAUUUAUGGCGCACGACCGUUUCGUGCACCCGAGGCAACCCCAUAUGCCGUUGUAGCGCCAAUCUACCAACAGCAAUCUACUCAACAGCCAAAUGUUCAACAAACAGAUAAUGAUUCUACCAACCAUCCAGCAGAGGACAUGCAUCACCAGGUCCCUACAUUACCUACCAAUCAAUCUGAGGAACUACCAGCGUUCAUACUUCCAAUUUUGCGAACGCAUAAUGCAAAAUGGGCACUUGAUAUUUCAAAAGCCACAUCACGACUCAACAAACUGCACGCAAAGCGCAUGAACGAGUUUGCACAAGAUGUCAUUGCUGCCUCAAGAAUUCAUACUCCAACAACACCUACUUAUUCCUCGCCUGAUAGGGUAGGCCAAGACUCAUAUACUGAAAAUGCUCAAGAACAUGGGACCAAAGCUACACCCAACACCAAGUUUUGGCAGGAAGCAGCUGCAUAUGCCGAAGAGGUUGAGAAAAGUGUUUGA